rnacentral:rRNA from 1 species
GACGAGGGAUCCUAGCGUUGUUCGGAAUCAUUGGGCGUAAAGCGGGUGUAGGUGGCCAAGUAAGUCAGGUGUGAAAGCCCGGGGCUCAACCUCGGAAGUGCAUUUGAUACUGCUUGGCUUGAGUGUGGGAGAGGCUAUUAGAAUUCCAGGUGUAGUGGUGAAAUACGUAGAUAUCUGGAGGAAUACCGGAGGCGAAGGCGGAUAGCUGGCCCAACACUGACACUCAGACCCGAAAGCGUGGGGAUCAAAACAGG